rnacentral:rRNA from 1 species
AUUCCUACGGGAGGCAGCAGUAAGGAAUAUUGGUCAAUGGACGGAAGUCUGAACCAGCCAUGCCGCGUGCAGGAAGACGGUCCUCUGGAUUGUAAACUGCUUUUGUUAGGGAAGAAACUUCCGUACGUGUACGGGACUGACGGUACCUAAAGAAUAAGGAUCGGCUAACUCCGUGCCAGCAGCCGCGGUAAUAC